UGGGGAAUAUUGGACAAUGGGCGAAAGCCUGAUCCAGCCAUGCCGCGUGUGUGAAGAAGGUCUUCGGAUUGUAAAGCACUUUAAGUUGGGAGGAAGGGCAGUAAGCGAAUACCUUGCUGUUUUGACGUUACCGACAGAAUAAGCACCGGCUAACUCUGUGCCAGCAGCCGCGGUAAUACAGAGGGUGCAAGCGUUAAUCGGAUUUACUGGGCGUAAAGCGUGCGUAGGCGGCUAAUUGAGUCGGAUGUGAAAUCCCCGAGCUUAACUUGGGAAUUGCAUUCGAGACUGGGUAGCUAGAGUGUGGGAGAGGAUGGUAGAAUUCCAGGUGUAGCGGUGAAAUGCGUAGAGAUCUGGAGGAAUACCGAUGGCGAAGGCAGCCAUCUGGCCUAACACUGACGCUGAGGUACGAAAGCAUGGGGAGCAAACAGG
rnacentral:rRNA from 1 species